rnacentral:rRNA from 1 species
UACGUAGGGGGCGAGCGUUGUCCGGAAUUAUUGGGCGUAAAGAGCGUGUAGGCGGUUCGGUAAGUCUGCCGUGAAAACCUGGGGCUCAACCCCGGGCGUGCGGUGGAUACUGCCGGGCUAGAGGGUGGUAGAGGCGAGUGGAAUUCCCGGUGUAGCGGUGAAAUGCGCAGAUAUCGGGAGGAACACCAGUAGCGAAGGCGGCUCGCUGGGCCAUUCCUGACGCUGAGGCGCGAAAGCUAGGGGAGCGAACAGG